CUAGUGCGUAUUCAGCCUUCUGGGCGCGUGAUUGGUGUUUGUGCAUUGCCGCAAGGUGUGCCUGGCGCUAUUGUCGCGUGUUCGGUUGGUGCAUUUGCGUACGGAGUGCGCCGGGUUGUGUGGUGUUGUCGGACGAUGCGCGUUUAGAGGACCCGGGCUUCGGCGCUGGGAACCCUGGGCGUGUGGAGUUCGGUUGGCGCUGCGCAGCUUUGUGGAGACGUGGGUUUUUCGCGUGCCGCGGUGUCGACAGGCUCGGUUCGGGUGGUACACAUGUGUGCAGCCCUUAUGGGGUCGGUCGGUGUUGUGGUGUGCUCUGCGUUCUUCCCGGUGUUCAGUCGGUGACCCAUUCGACCCGUCUUGAAACACGGACCAAGGAGUUUAUGGUAUGCGCAAGUCAUUGGGUUUGUCGAAGCCUAAAGGCGUAAUGAAAGUGAGACAUUACUUGUCUGAACGUGACUGGGUGCGGCAUUCGUGCGGCCCAAGCAACGUUGCCCCGUUUCGAGGACUUGUCCUGAUGCGGAGGUUGAGCGUAUGCUAUGAGACCCGAAAGAUGGUGAACUAUGCCUGGAAGCAGGA
rnacentral:rRNA from 1 species